GCCGCGUGUGUCGGGCGGGUAACAGCUCCACCCGCCUGCGCCAGGACGGUCCUGAGCUAGUGUCCCGAAUGCGCUGGCGCAGCGCGGUGAACGAGGGCAGCCCAACGAAAGUGACCCUGGAGGCGGGGAAACACAUCAGUUAGCACGACCGGCUGUGGUGACAUCAGGGCUAAGAUGGCCACUCUCGCUGCAGCAGCCCGAUGGAUUAGACACUAGAUUUCCUUCCCACUUCCAUACAUACAUUCUGGAAUCAGCCUCUCUGGGACUAUGCUGCGUGUAAAACAAAACCCCGACAACUGCUGCCUUCAGCGGGCAUACUGCAACGGCCUUGUCAUCACAGAGCUGUGUGAUCCAGCUUAGAAAUAAAAUGCCAUGCACAGAACAAACACUUGCAUCACCCUUCCCUUACAUUUACAAGAUGACUGCAACUCUUGUAGAGCCAUGUGCCAUCAAUAGGGAAACUCAUACUCAGAAACCACAAACUACACCACCACAAGUUUCCAUCAUCCAGAAAGAUUCAGUUGUGUGAUUACUGAUCUACAUCAUUUGUAGAAGAGUGAAUACAAGUUAGGCCUUUGACAGAAAAAGAAGAGUAGAGGGUUCCUAACUGGAAAAGAUGCAGUGUUUCUCAAGCGUAGCCACUUGUAGCCACCAGGGGCUUCUCUUGCAGCAACAGCCUCCUGGGUGAUUGUGGGGAAGCAGCAGCCCCACCCCAGGGCUGCCAGCAGUGGUUGGCCCAUGGCCGCCUCUGGGGGAGACAGAAAAGCUGGAGGAGCAGACAACUGGUAUGAGUUCCCCAGCAUCCUAGAGGUCCAGUAAAGAAUAGAGACAACUGUACAUUAUUUUCAUUACUGAGUCUGCAAACAAAUUACUAUGAUUUGGACAUGUAUAUGUGGAUAUUUAUUUUUCCUCAAGUUAAGUAUUUUAGGAAAAAUUGUCAGAGAGGCCACCAGCAAGACUUGGUGGCCGCACUCUGACUCCACCAAAAAUGUAUUGUGAGAAUUCCUUAUGCUGAGAGGUACUAGGGAUGGCAGUCACAAUUAACAAUUGUCAGGAUGAGUUAAUCAGAAGCCCUCCACUUAAGACAAAAAGGGAUCGUGAACUUGUCCAAGAGUUUGGGCUGAGGUGAUGGUGAUCUUCUGCUGAGUGGUGUUUGUGUGGGUACAUGUAGGAAGGCAGAAGAGGAAAAGCAAGCAAGCCAGGCAUUAACUGGUGAGUGCCAUGUGUGAUCCUAGAAAAAGCUAGGCAGAGACUUUUUUGGUCUGUUCAGUUGGCUAACAAGACUGGGGGCUGUAAGCUAAUGAACUGUUCCUGUUGUGGCUGGUUCUUCUUAGACUCAGAGUCUUGUAAAUAAACAAGAUUACAUCCAAGAAAAUACCAUAUUCCAUCAAUGUGUUACCAGCUAGAACAUCCCCAAAGCCCCAAACGUUGACUAGACACUCAGGUCACAGAGGGGCAAUGCUUCUAACAAACCUAUCCUGUAUUAGAUACAUUUGGAGUUAGAAAAUACAAGGACUCUUCCUUUCCAGCCUGAAGAAAUGUUCAAACGUUAAGUUCCUAUAUCUAUUAGCUGUUGCACAAUAGAGAGUUGCCCUUACAGGAAAAGAGCUGGACUUUUUGGUUCAAUAGGUUAGACUGCACAAUGGUGACUUGAAUUACACACACACACACACCCCCUAAAACCACUAGCUGAUAAACAGAUAACUUCCUCCUUGCACAUAAUAUAAUUUUGUUUCACAACGAAAAAUGUUUGAAGGCUAUGACUCAACAGGCCUAAUCUGAUUUAGUGCUGCCUCUUAAGGAGGGGAGUCAGCUGUAAAUUUUAUUUUUUUCCUCAUCCUGAUUGACUAAUUAACUUAUGUAGAGACAAAUGACAUCAAAAUAGGCAAAGCUGAGAAAAGGGUAAGCUCUAGCCACUUUACAAUAGCAAGCAAAAUACAUUUUAAAAAAUGGUAGGGAAUGUUUGCUCUGGGGAAUCUCCAUUUGCAAUUGCAAAAGUUUUAUUUGUACUACUUCCUUUCAUAUAAUUCUCAUUGCUUAUUUUAUUCAAAACUAAGAAAGCAAACAUUAAACUGAUGACAUCUGCCACUGCAAAUGGAGAAAACCCUGCAGCCCCAGAUGAGUACUAUGGGAAACAGGAGGAAUGAGGGGAACGGGUGUCAAGGAAAAGAGGUCACACCUGAGUGCAUGUGCUUGAUGAUAUAUUCAAAUUUUGCUUCAACAUAGUCAGAAAAAAGUGAACAUAUGCCAGUGUAUACAAAGUCUUUUUUCUUCAGUGUAUUUGCAUGUAACUUGUGAUAGAGAUUCACAUAAUUCUUAAUGUGUUACAGCCGGGUUUUUCUUGUGGGGGAAAAAAGUCAUUCUUUUAAAAAAAGACUGAACAUUUCACCAGUCUUUCACUACAAACCUGUAACAGCCUGUAGACUGGUGAAGAGUUGUUUGAAUUCCAUAGCAGAUAGGCAGCUAAAUAGGAACUAUUAAAUGCUUUGAAAUUUAGAGAUGAAAAAUGCAGUUAUUCAUUUAACUGGUUUACUAAGCAAGAAUCAAAAUUAAAGCCAGCAGUUAAUAUUUUACUUAUAAUAUUAUAGAUCAGUAAGUCAAAUAUAGCUACUCGAUUGCUAGUUUAAAAACUGCUCUUUUGUGUAUGAAUUUCUGUGCAACAGUAAAAAUCAUGAUCCCUACUAAAAACUGUUAAUCAUGAGUUACAAUCCCAUAGUAUGAGAAAUAAUUUCUUUUAAGGACCAACCUAGACCAUACAUUAUUUAUAUCUGUAAGAGAUGUUAUUACAUUCAUUGGAUGAAAGAGAAUUAUACAUUUUCAGAAAGCCUAUGAUUCCAUUUGAGGUUUCUGUAGCCAUGGUAACAUGUAGGUAGCAGAGCUAAUUUUAGCCUGUGGUUUCAUUGUUCCAGUAUUAAAGAAUUAGGUUCCAAAAAUAUAAUCCUGGCCAUUGAUGUCAUUCUAGAAGACUGGCCUUUUCCUUGCACAUUUAAAAGCAAGUCACAUGUAGGAGCCAUCUGACCAUAACGUACCCACCUAACACAAAACACAUUUGGUAUAAAAUGCCAUAGUGUAUAUUGGGUCCAUAGCCAAACCAGUACCUGGAAUGUUCUGCACCACAAAACGUAAAUUAGGAUAAAGAUAAAGCAAGCACAAUGAUUAAAGAAACUAUAGACGACAGAAGUGACCAGCUCAGAAAAACAUGCCUCCCCCACCCCCCAAGAAAAGUGAAAAAAGGUCUGUCAAGUGAUCAUAAAAAUAUUGACCAGAUUGAAAGACUGCUCAAACACAGACAAACAGGCUUUGGUGGACACCUUCAGGGAAAACACUCUACAGGCUGGGUUUCUAAACCAAGAAGUUCUUGCUCACAGCCCGAGACCUUGAGAGAAAUAAAGGCCAAACCAAUUAACUCCAAAUGCAUUAGAAAGACACAGCAGGACAGAAUUUUAAUAUGUUACCAUAGAAUAGUAAUUAAAGAUGGAAGGAACUUAAGUCAUCAAGGCAAGUGCCCGCCAUUAGAAUAUGCUGUUUGAGUAAAGCAGGUUGAUUGAACACUGUAUUUGCCUAUGUCCCUUUACAAAUUCUAUAUAGUACUACAGGAACAAUACAGAUCUUAACUUCCAACUGAAAAAUGCAAAUACAGUAACAUUCUGUCAACUGAGGAGUUACACAUUACCAGAAAUCCAGUCAGUCAAUCUGUGCACUACCAGUACUGUUAGUGACUCAAUAAGUUUAGCCCAAAGUACCAUGUUAAUACUAACAUGUUGAGCAGGGAGCUAGCAAAAUAUGUAUACUAACCAUGUUUUGAAAAAGGCUGUAGUAAUUACUUCGUUCAGUGUUGUGAGGAUUAAUUUGUAAAGCAGGUCGAGUUGCUCUGUCAAAAGACACUGUAGAAUGUUAACAGUCAAACUGCAUAAAUAUUUAAGAUUAAAUGUAACCGGUUAAUGCUUAAUUGAAUUUAAAUAAUCCAAAUAAAGAGGAGCUGUUUUGAAACUUUCCACAGACGCAGAAAUAAGCCGAGUUCAGUGGUUUUAACUGGUUCAAUUUGCUUUUGAGGCUUCAUUUCUGAAAAACUGCACAUAAUUUGAAUAAAAUGAAAGUGCAUAAAUCUUACAUCUUCAGGUCAAAUAGCAGCCCACCGGGAUGACAUACACUUCAUCUUGCUCCGAGUGGCUAAGAUCGUUACAGAUCAAGACAGAGUAAUGGACUCUGAAGUCAUUUUUAUUGGCCACAGCAGUAGAAUUAAAAAUAAAGGCAAUCUCAUUUCAAACUCAUUUAGCCACGUUUCACUCAUGGACCAAA